UCCCUGUUAACUCAGACAGUAAAGAAUCUGCCUGCCAUGCAGAAGACCCAGGUUCAAACCCUGGGUCAGGAA
rnacentral:tRNA from 1 species